UACGGAAGGCAGCAGUGGGGAAUAUUGCACAAUGGGCGCAAGCCUGAUGCAGCCAUGCCGCGUGUAUGAAGAAGGCCUUCGGGUUGUAAAGUACUUUCAGUCGUGAGGAAGGUGUUAAGGUUAAUAACCUUAGCAAUUGACGUUAGCGACAGAAGAAGCACCGGCUAACUCCGUGCCAGCAGCCGCGGUAAUACGGAGGGUGCGAGCGUUAAUCGGAAUUACUGGGCGUAAAGGGCACGCAGGCGGUUAAUUAAGUUGGAUGUGAAAUCCCCGGGCUUAACCUGGGAAUGGCAUUCAAGACUGGUUAGCUAGAGUCUUGUAGAGGGGGUAGAAUUCCAUGUGUAGCGGUGAAAUGCGUAGAGAUGCGGAGGAAUACCGGUGGCGAAGGCGGCCCCUGGACAAAGACUGACGCUCAUGUGCGAAAGCGUGGGGAGCAAAC
rnacentral:rRNA from 1 species